CACACGGUAUAGCUGUUUUUCUUUCAAAAGGCACACGGUAUAGCUGUUUUUCUUUCAAAAGGCACACGGUAUAGCUGUUUUUCUUUCAAAAGGCACACGGUAUAGCUGUUUUUCUUUCAAAAGGCCCACGGUAUAGCUGUUUUUCUUUCAAAAGGCACACGAUAUAGCUGUUUUAGAGACCCUGGUGCCUUUUCAGCAUGCGUACAAUAGUCGGCUAACUUAUGGCUUCCACAUUAUUGAACAUGUUGUUAUUGUCCAAGAUGUGCUGCUGAAUUUCUGUAAGGUGAAUAUCAUUUCUGGCCUGAACCAAAUUGACCACAGCCUGCUCUUGUUGGUCAGUCAGAAUUUUGCCUCUGCGUCCCCUAUUUGGCCUAGUCUCAAUUCUGCAGGGAAAAUUACAGUAAGAACACAUUUAGUCACAUCACCUACUCUGUGCUCAGAUUUCAUUGGACACUCUUUGCUGUUGCUGCCGCUGUCUUGGUCCCUGGCCUUGUCCUCUACCACGUUCCCCCACACCUCUCAAACGAUGCCCACGACCACCUCUCAGAAGGGGUGCUUGUCCCCUGACAUUCGUUUGACCAAUACGUCUUCCUCGUCUUCCUCCUCUCACUGCUUGACCUCUGUUGUGACCUGGAUCACCUGCCGGCUCCAUGUUAUCACUAUGUUGUGGUAGGUGGAUACCACUCAGUCCACUAUACAGCUCCAUGUUAUCACUAUGUUGUUGUAGGUGGAUACCACUCAGUCCACUAUACAGCUCCAUGUUAUCACUAUGUUGUGGUAGGUGGAUACCACUCAGUCCACUAUACAGCUCCAUGUUAUCACUAUGUUGUGGUAGGUGGAUACCACUCAGUCCACUAUACAGCUCCAUGUUAUCACUAUGUUGUUGUAGGUGAAUACCACUCAGUCCACUAUACAGCUCCAUGUUAUCACUAUGUUGUGGUAGGUGGAUACCACUCAGUCCACUAUACAGCUCCAUGUUAU
ensembl:lncRNA